rnacentral:precursor_RNA from 15 species
UCCAAAGGGUAGGAUACCGUGAACGGCGGCUGACAAUUUCCGAGUUAGGCCACUCUUAUAAUCAGUGGCCAAACUCGGAAAUUGUCUGCCGCCGUGAAAACCUACCCCUCGGAAAAUAU